rnacentral:rRNA from 1 species
UCGGAAGAUAUUCGUGCCGCAGGCCGUGGCAUAAAGAUGAUACGCCGUGCCUUCUCAAUGAACUUUUCGGCUUCUUCGGCGUCGUAUUGGGUUACGAUGCUCACGAUGUCCCGCACACCGGGACUGCCUACGGUCAAGUAAUGCUUCUUUGCUUCAAAGAAGUGCAUGUACACUUGGGCUUGUGCGUAAUAAACAUAGUCCCAGUUCUUCAAAGCAUCAACAUCGCCCCUUAAAGACUUGAGCGAAACCAGUUUUUUGUACUUGGCUUCGUUGGAUAUCUUGCACUCCCAAACAUAAAGCGUUUCGGGGUCUUGCAACAAUCCGGUCAGCAGUCCGUCGCAGUUGCCGCGAAAGUGACCGCCAAUCGAUUCAAAAGAGUGCUGGACACCGGGUUCCUUUUCCGUGGAAAGAUCGACAGACGGAACAGUCUUCAACAGCAUCGCAAUGAUGUGUUCGCCUCGAUGGCCAUCGUUGAUUCUUCGCAGCCCAGCGGCGUCAAUAAACCCGUUUUUAACCCAUCGGAAAUUAAGCCAGAGUUUUCGUUCGCAACUGUCGCCGAUGGCUGAUGCGCCCAAAUAAGGUCGAGUGCGGGUUUCUUGGUUUGAUUCCAUGAUGGAAUCUAUUGCCCUCAAAGUGGGGUCUUCAAUCUCGGGAAGCUUGACCAUUGUCAAUAAUCUCCACUUCUGAUUCUGUUUCUAUCCAUACUCGCGCUCCACAAGACAAUGGUUUAUCAGGUGAAUACACCACUUUUGAUGGCCCUUUAAUGGAAACUUCGUAAGCAUAAGUAUUUGACUUGUAAUUUUUUACGGUCAACACCGGGUCAUUAAUUCCUUCUUUUUUAUUCUUUCUUAUAACAUGUUGAUUUACAUGAAUAAUCGUUUUCAUAUGCUCUCCGAAGACGCGCGACACCCGACUGGUUUUUGGGGGGUUGGGCUAGACAUCUAGCCGGGUGCCGCGCUUUUUUACUUCUUAAAACGCUCCCAAGGCUUGGGCUUCGGUGCUGACUCUGGGGCCGCUGCCACCGUUUCCUUGGCGCCGUUCGCGCUUUGGUAAGCCGCCCGAGUUUCCAACUGACCCUGCUUGUUUCCCAGUCACGAUAGGGUUGAGUUGAAAAUGUAAUGGGGUUUAAGUUUAGUGUUGAAGUUUUGGGUUAUGCAUGUUUUGAUAUGCAUGGUGGUAGGGGAGUGUUUUAAUAGUAGUGAAGUAUGAUUGUAAGGGUGUGUGGAGUGGUUGGAAGUGUUGAUGUUGAAAUGAGUAGUGAUAAAGGGUGUGAGAAAUACCCUUGUUGUAAAUUUAAGGUUUUUUGGGGUAGGUUAAUCCUUUUAGGGUUAGCCGGUUUUUAAGCCGAGGCCGAAAGGCGUAGGUGAUGGGAAGUAGGUUAAUAUUCCUGUGUUAUUUUAUAGAUGUUGAAUUGAGGAGUGAUGGAGAAGGUUAGGUGGGUUGGGUGUUGGAUGUUUUGGUUUAAAGUUGUAGGGGUGUUUUGUAUGAUGAAAAGGUGAGGUAGUUAUUUUUGAGAGUUGAAUGUGAGUGUGUAAGUGUGAAGUUGUUGAUAUUAUGUUUUUAAGAAAAAUUUUGUAGGGAGUCUAUAGGGUGUUUGUAUUGUAAAUUGAUUUAGGUGGGUGAGGAGAAAAUUUUAAGGUGAUUGAGAGAAUUUUUUUUUAAGGAAUUAGGUAAAUUGAUAUUGUAAUUUUGGAAGAAGGUGUGUUUUUUGUAGGUGUAGAUGAAUAAUUGAAGUUGAGAAGGGUUGUAGAGAAAUGGUGGUAGUGAUUGUUUAUCAAAAAUAUAGGACUCUGUGAAGGCGAUAAGCCGAUGUAUAGGGUCUGAUUUUUGUCUGGUGUUGGAAGGUUAAGGGGAUUUGUUAGUUGUAAGGUGAAGUGAUGAUUUGAAGUUUUAGUAAAUUGUGGUUGUAAUAAUAAUGGUUUUAAGGUAGUGAAAUUUCUUGUUGGGUAAGUUUUGAUCUGUAUGAAUGGAGUAAUGAUUUCUGCACUGUUUUGGAGAGGGAUUUAGUGAAAUUGAAAUAGUUGUGUUGAUGUAGUUUAUUUGUAGAAAUAUGGAAAGAUUUUGUGAAUUUUUAUUAUAAUUUGAUAGUGACACUAGGGAUUGAUUGUGUAGAAUAGGUGGGAGUUUUUGAAGUUGGGUUGUUAGGUUUGGUGGAGGUAAUAGUGAAAUAUUAUUUUGUUGAUUUCUGGUGUUUAAUUGUGUCCCAUUAAUUGGGAUUGGGAUAUUGUUUGGUGGGUAGUUUGAUUGGGGUGGUUGUUUUUUAAAGAGUAAUGGAGGUGUGUGAUGGUUCCCUUAGUUUGAUUGGAAAUUGGGUGUUGAGUGUAAUGGUAUAAGGGAGCUUGAUUGUGAGAUUGAUAGGUUGAGUAGGUGUGAAAGUAGGUUAUAGUGAUUUGGUGGUUUUGAAUGGAAGGGUUAUUGUUUAAUGGAUAAAAGGUAUUUUGGGGAUAAUAGGUUUAUCUCCCCUAAGAGUUUAUAUUGAUGGGGAGGUUUGGUAUUUUGAUGUUGGUUUAUUGUAUUUUGGGGUUGGAGUAGGUUUUAAGGGUUUGGUUGUUUGUUAAUUAAAGUGGUAUGUGAGUUGGGUUUAAAAUGUUGUGAGAUAGUUUGGUUUCUAUUUUCUGUGGGUGUAGGAUAUUUGAGAGGUUUUGAUUUUAGUAUGAGAGGAUUGGGUUGGAGAUAUUUUUGGUGUAUUAGUUGUUAUGUUAGUGGU